UACUUCCGGUCCCUCCCUUCGUUCGCCUGCGGAGAGAACUGCCAAGUCAGUUCCGGUCGAGAGCGCGCUGGAAAGAGUGCGUCGGAAAGCGGAGCGCGGCCUGUGUUCUCCAGCUCCUCCGGGCCCUCGGACCCCUCCGGCCCCGGGCUGGCGGGUGAGCUGGGGGCCCGGGGGCGCCCUGCGGUCUCUGCCUGCGGAGACUCAGAGUCUUCACCGCGACUGUCCACCGUCUUGGUCCAGGCCCUGGGGCAGCGGCAGGACCCGGUCCUCCCUUUCCCCCAUGAUGUCUUGACGGCGGCGGCGGCGGCCUCUCGGAGCCUGGACCCCGCCGGCCGCCGGGUUUCCCUGCCCAGACCUGCCCGGCGGCGGGCGUGGCAGGGAGAGGAAAAUGGCGGCUUCCCGAAUGCCGCGGAGGGCCGUUAGGGGACUCGAGCGCCCAGAAGGCGGGUUGUGUAGACUCAGGCUCGGUCCUCUCUUCGGCUUGGGCCACGGAGCCUCACAGAUCCGGGACCUGGGGUGACCACCCCAUUCCAAUUGGACGAGAUGCCACCUCGUCCCAACAACGACGGACAAAGGCCUUAACGGGCCUGGAAGGGGGAAAAAAAAAAUCUUAGGAAUGUCUUCUGGAAUUGACUUUGAAAUGGAAUUUAGACUGCCUCUGGAAGCGACAGCGGGAGAGAGACACAACCACGCUUUCUGUGGGUUGGAGGCCAAGAAGCAGAAGGCUAAGAAGAGGAAGAGAAGGUUGUAUGCCAGACUGGUCAUAUUUAGAAGAUAUUUUCAUAUUAUAACCAUUAUUUUGUGUGUGCAAUUUAUUCUUCACUACUGUAUAUAUAAUUGGCAAUGCUAAGUACUUUUUGAAAUAUCUCCUCUUCCUAUAUGUUCUGAAGUGCCUGACAUAUGGUAAAAGUAGAGGUAGUAGAACACAUUUUGUAGUUAUCUUUUUGUUAAAAUUCAUGUGAAAUAGUACGGAGUUUUUUGGAAUGGCCAAACCACCUCUCUAAAUAGUACACAUUUUGUACACUGGUUUGGGGGAGGAGGGAGAAGGAAGUGCAAAGGGCUCUAUGCCAGUAUGUUUAUAAUGAGACAAGAUUAACCAUUGUCCCUAUGUUUGUGCAUUUGGUUUUACUUUGCUAUGUAUGUAGUGUAUAUAAUGGACGCACAUGUCCUAAUUUGCAUCUAGUCUUCUAGAUGUUAAGAGGUUGCCAGUGUAUGACAAAAACAUAGUAAACUAAUACAUCUUGUACAUUUUGUGUUAAAAUUCCUAAGAAAGAUUGUCUUCUGAAAUUUUGAGCAGUAUAGCCCCCAGGGUUGGUGGAGGAAGGAUAAAAGGGAAGGGUUCUAGAGUAGAAUGUGCAUAUUUAGAAGACACUUUCUGAUUAACUGUUGUUAGAUGUGUGCAGUUUAUUCAAGACUGUUAUGUAUAUAGUGGAUGAACUAAGUCAUUAUUUGAAACAUCUAGUCUGACUAGAUGUUUAGAAGUGCCCAAUGUAUGUUAAAAGUAGUAGUAGUAAAAUAUUACUUUGUAAAUACUGUUUUGCUCAAAUUCAUAGGAAAUAGUGUCUUUUGGAAAAUGGGAUUGUUAAACCAUCUCUCAGCAGCAUACAACUGUCUAUAUACUCGUUCAGUGGUUUGGAGGAAGUGGGAGAGAAGCAAUAGCAAAAUGUAAUUUGUUAGUGUGUUCAGACAAAACUUUUUCUGUAUGUCCUGUGCAUUUCAUUUGGCUGUGUAUAUAAUGGACAAAUGAGUCCUAAUUUUGCAGCAUCUAGUCUGUAGAUGUUAAAGAGGUUGCCAGUAGUUAUUAAAAUUAGUAUGUUUUGUAUACUUUAUGUUGAAAUUUAUUGGAAAGCUUGUCUUCUGUAAAUGACUUUUGGGUAUGAAUUUGUUCAACCACCUCAAACCAUUACACUUGCCUGUACUUGUCUACUGAACUGGUGGUGGAGAAAAGGAAGUCAGGAGGGUAUGGUUCAAGGACAAGAUGGUCACAUUUAGGCGACACCUCAGAUUAUAACCAUUGUUAUGUGUGUACAGUUUUAUGGAACAAUACUAUAUAUGCAGUGAACAAGUAAAUUUUUAUUUGAAAUAGCUAGUCUUUUUAAAUGUUUAGAAGUACUUGAUGUGUUUAAAAACAGAGGUAGUAGGAUAGCACUGUAAAUAGCUCUUAAAAAUUGAUGAGAAAUACUGUCUUUGGGAAUGGAAUUGUUAAACCACCUCUGAACAUUGUACUUGUUCAUUGGUUUGAGUGAGGUGGGAGGGAAGAAAUUGAAAAAGGUGUUUUGCUAGUGUGUACUAGAACAUUUCUUAUCAUCCAUUGCCAUGUAUGUUAUGUGUAUUCAUUUAACUUUGCUGUACUGUAUAUAUUGUGUAUAUACUGGACAAAUGAGUCCUAAUUUUAUAAUAUCUAGUCUCUAGAUAUUAAAGAGGUUGCCAAUGUAUGACAAAAGUAGAGUUAGUAAACUAACACAUUUUGUACACUUUGUGUUAAAAUUCCUAGAAAGGCUGUCUUCUGAAAAUGACUUUUGGAAAUGAAAUUAGAAAACCCCAUCUAAGUGACACAGGUGCUUGUAGCUCAUCCACUGGGUUUGUGGUGGAGAAAAGGAAUCAGGAGAAAUGACGGGCUCUAGCCCCAAAAUGUUUCUAUUUAGAAGACACUUUCAGAUUUAACAGUUGUUACGUGUGUGUAGUUUAUUGAACACUACUGUGUAUAUAGUGGACAAAUUUAAGUCCUAUUUGAAACAUCUAGUCUUUCUAGAUGUUUAGAAGUGCACAAAGUAUGUUAAAAGUAGAGGUAGUAAAAUAACACAUUUUGUAGAUAUUGUUUUGUUAAAAGUCAUAUGAAAUAUUUUUUGGAGAUGGAAUGAUCAAACCACCUUCAGAGCAGUACAUAUUCUGUUUGUGCUGUUUCAGGGAGGAGGGAGAAGGAAGUGCCAAGGGCUCUUUGCCAGUAAGUCUGUAGUUGGGCAAGAUAAACCAUUAUCCUAUAUAUUCUGUGUAUUUUGUUUUACUUCACUGUGUAUACAGUGGACAAACGAGUACUCAUUUUUUAUCUAGUCUUUCUAGACCAGUGUAUGACAGUAGAGUUAGUAAACUAACACAUUUUGUACAUUUUGUGUUAAAAUUUAUAGGGAAGACUUGUUUUGAAAAUGACAGAAUUUUACUUGUGAAAGCAAAAUCAUUUAAAAAAAAAAUGAAAAAACAAAAACCCUCUAAGCAUUGCACAUGCAACCACUGGGUUGAUAGAGAUGAGAACAGGAAGGAUUCUAGGCCAGAGUAUUCCUAUUUAGAAGACAUUUUCAGAUUAUAUCCUUUGUUACAUGUGUAUGGUUUAUUCAAAGCUACUGUGUGUAUUGUGGACAAGUUUAAGUCCUUAUUUGAAACAUCUAGUUUUUCUAGAUGCUUACAAGGAUACAAUAUAUGUUAAAAGUACAGAGUGUAAAAUAACAUUUUAAAUAUUUUUUCUGUUAAUACAGAAGAAUGGCUGUAUUUGGGGAAUGGCACUGUUGAACUGGAUAUCUUGGAGCAGUGUGCUGAGGGGGUGGGGGUGGGGUAGGGAAUGAAGUGCAGAGGGAAGGGUUCUUUGCCUGCGAGUUAGACAAGUUCAGAUUGUUUGACCAUUGUUCUGUAUAGGCAUUUUAGUUAUUGCUGUGUAUUAAAAGACAAGUCCUAAUGUCCAAAGUAUACUAAAAAUAGAAGUAGAAAGAUAAUCCCUAUAGAAAUGUCCUUGUGUUAGUUUAAAGGAAGGCCUGUCUUCUGGGAGUGACUUUGCUAAUCCACCUCUUGGAGCCAGAUGCAUUUCUGUACUUAGUCAUUGAAAUAGUGGAAGAGGAAGAAGAGGCAGGGCUCUUUGCUAGUAUCUCUAGAUCUAGAAGACAGUUUUAGAUUAUAACUAUAGUUCUAUGUGAAUUUUUUUUUGUAAAAUACCUGUGUUUAUUGCGGAUAAGAUUCAUUAUUUCACAAUAUCUAAGCUUUUUAGAUUUCUUGAGGUGACAAUGUAUGAUAAAAAGUAGAGUAGUGAAUUAACGAAUUUAUAAAUAUCUUUUUGUUGAUAGAAAAGAAGCAUCUUUGACAUGGAAUUGUUAAACGACCUCUGAGCAGUUGGUAUCAGAACUUGUUUAUUAGGUUGGCUGCAGAGGGGCGGAAGAACGUGCAGGGGGGAGGGAUGUAUGCAACUGUGUUCAUAUUUCCAUUUUGAUGUAACCAUUGUACUUGGGCAUCUCUUGGCUAUACCAUAGGACAUUGCUAAAAAUAAUUCAGUGGAAACAUACCUUAUUUCAAUAUAGAUCUGAACAUGAAUUCUCUUAGAUGAAUUAUACUUGUUGUAUUCUUUAUGUCUAAUUUUAAAUUGAGCAUUAAGGGAAUGCAGUAUUUGUUAACUCUGCCAUAUCUAUAGAGGCCUGUUGCAUUUUUGUCUUUUAUGAAAUUGUCCCAAAGGCAGGCAGGAAUACAUUUUCCCCCCUUGAUUGAGUUGGUGUCAUGUAUUCUUGGUUAUAUCCCAGUACUCACAGCUUUGGGACUUUGAAUUGGUAAAUAUUCAUGAAAAAGCAUGAAACACAUAAAAAUGUAUGCUCAGUUGUAUGUAUACACAUAAAGCACCUAGAAGGAUAUGUCAACCCGUAAA